GGAAUGAGUACAAUUAAACACCUUAACGAGGAACAAUUGGAGGGCAAGGUCUGGUGCCAGCAGCCGCGGUAAUUCCAGCCUCAAUAGUGUAUAUUAAAGUUGCUGCGGUUAAAAAGCUCGUAGUUGGAUUUCGGACUGCGCUUCGGUCAAAGCUCGCCGCAAGGCGUGGCUGGACUAACGCGUCCUAUCUUCGGAUAGUGAACCUGGCUCGCAAGGGGCUGGGAGCUCGCUUCCGAUCAUUUACUUUGAAAAAAUUAGAGUGUUCAAAAGCAGGCGUCAAGCCAUUGAAUAGAUUAGCAUGGGAUAAUAGAAUAGGAUUCUUAUCUAUUUAUUGGUUUAUAGAUUUAGAAUAAUGAUUAAUAGGGAUAGUUGGGGGCACUUGUAUUCAAUAGUCAGAGGUGAAAUUCUAGGAUUUAUUGAAGACAAACUUCAGCGAAAGCAUUUGCCAAGGAUGUUUUCAUUAAUCAAGAACGAAAGUUAGGGGG
rnacentral:rRNA from 1 species